UACGGAGGGUGCAAGCGUUAUCCGGAUUUACUGGGUUUAAAGGGUGCGUAGGUGGGUCUGUAAGUCAGUGGUGAAAUCUCCGAGCUUAACUCGGAAACUGCCAUUGAUACUAUAGGUCUUGAAUUAUCUGGAGGUAAGCGGAAUAUGUCAUGUAGCGGUGAAAUGCGCAGAUAUCAGGAGGAACACCAAUUGCGAAGGCAGCUCGCUGGGACGUUACUGACGCUGAGACGCGAAAGCGUGGGGAGCAAACAGG
rnacentral:rRNA from 1 species